UACGUAGGUGGCAAGCGUUGUCCGGAUUUACUGGGCGUAAAGAGCGCGCAGGCGGCCAAGUCAGUCGAAUGUGAAAGCCCCCCGGCUUAACUGGGGGAGGGUCAUUCGAUACUGCUCGGCUCGAAGACAGGAGAGGGAAGUGGAAUUCCCGGUGUAGUGGUGAAAUGCGUAGAUAUCGUAAGGAAGACCAGUGGCGAAGGCGGGUCUCUGGACAGUUCCUGACGCUGAGGCACGAAGGUCAGGGGAGCAAACGGG
rnacentral:rRNA from 1 species